rfam:Gossypium hirsutum cultivar TM-1 chromosome 25, whole genome shotgun sequence
AACCCAUAAUGAGGGCAUCUUCUCAAAAGAUCUUUAAAUCUCUCUCAUGCAUUAUAUAAUGUUUCCAUAUCAAAUUGAACAAAGGAAGAGAUGUUUCUCAACUU